CUCACAUGGUCAAACCUAUUUCUCACAGCAGUGCCAAAUAAUACAAACAAAAGGUUUAUUUCUACAUGUACACGAUUAGAUCAAAACUUGACCUUCUGUUCUCUGUCCGAACGAAACGUCUUCCGCUUUCCUAUGUUGCUCAAUAUAAA
rnacentral:lncRNA from 1 species